CUACACCGCUGCACUACGGUGGGAUUAUCAAACACACUGAGGAACUGUACAGGAGCUUUUGAGUGCGAGCAGGUUGAUGACUGCGGUGGCUCUGCUGUGCCUGGCUGCUCUGUGUGCAGCGCGGAAGAGGAAGAGAACAGAACUCAGAAUGGGACUACAGAACGGACGCAGAGAAGGUGAACACUAGAGGCUGCGUCAACCUCACCCUGGUGUUGGACAACCUAGAGGUUUUACUAUCAUGAACCAAGUCAAAGACCUUCUCCUCAACGACCACAGCUCUGUGCUGCCUGACUACGGGAGGAUCCCUCCUCUAUCAGGAUCCCUCCUCUAUCAGGAUCCCUCCUCUAUCAGGAUCCCUCCUCUAUCAGGAUCCCUCCUCCACCAGGAUCCCUCCUCCACCAGGAUCCCUCCUCCAUCAGGAUCCCUCCUCCACCAGGAUCCCUCCUCCACCAGGAUCCCUCCUCCACCAGGAUCCCUCCUCUACAGGAUCCCUCCUCCACCAGGACCCCUCCUCCACCAGGAUCCCUCCUCCACCAGGAUCCCUCCUCCACCAGGAUCCCUCCUCCACCAGGACCCCUCCUCCACCAGGAUCCCUCC